GGGUGUAUUUGAGUAUCUGGCUGAUGUGUUGAAAAUAAAUCGUCCUGCAGGGUCGGGCAGGUAUUUUGAACGCUGCUUUAGUAACCUGUUUUAUGACUUGGUGUCAGGAUGUUUGUUGUCAAUAUCUUGGUUAGAGUCCAAGAAAAGACAUUUUCAGUUCUUCAGAAAGUUAUCUGAAUAUCUUACCAUGUGAAAAGCACUUGUUUAAAAAGUCUCAGUUAAACUGAUUUCAUGAACAAUGGUUUUGUUAUGGACAUGGAAGAAUGAAUGAAGAAAUAUUGAUUAUUAUCAUUGUGGUCAUAAUGUGUUGGUGACAAUACUUUAAUGACCAUAUUCUGUGAGUCUGUUGUAUGUAUUUAGGUUAUUUAAGUGCUGCAUACCAAAAUAUACACUGUGUUAGUACCGGUAAAUUUCUCUGUAUGAAUGCUUGUAGAACAGAUGUAUGUUAUUACCGGUAAAUAUCUCCGUAUCAACACUUAUAGGAUAGGUCAAUGUUAUUACUGGUAAAUAUCUCCGUAUCAACACUUAUAGGAUAGGUCAAUGUUAUUACUGGUAAAUAUCUCCAUAUCAACACUUAUAGGAUAGGUCAAUGUUAUUACUGGUAAAUAUCUCC
rnacentral:lncRNA from 1 species